rnacentral:rRNA from 1 species
UACGUAGGGGCCGAGCGGUGUCCGGAGUUACUGGGCGUAAAGCGCGCGUAGGCGGCCUGGGAAGCCUGACGUGAAAGCCCCCGGCUCAACCGGGGAGGGUCGUCGGGGACUUUCAGGCUUGAGGGGGGCAGAGGCCGGUGGAAUGCCCGGUGUAGUGGUGAAAUGCGUAGAGAUCGGGCAGAACACCCGUGGCGAAGGCGGCCGGCUGGGCCGGUCCUGACGCUGAGGCGCGAAGGCGUGGGGAGCGAACGGG